rnacentral:rRNA from 1 species
GUCUACAGCCAUGUCACCCUGAACAAGCCCAAUCCUGUCUGAUCUCAGAAGCUAAGCAGGGUUGGGCCUGGUUAGUACUUGGAUGGGCGACCACCUAGGAAGAUCAGGUGCUGUAGGGG